UUAAUUUAAUGCUUUUCCUCCUGUCAAAAAAAACUUUAAUGCUUUUCCAUAUAUACAACAUGCACCAAUGUUUUUAAUUUAUUCUUUUUUCAUAUUUUCCAUAUACCAAAUGCACCGCCGUUUUAAUACCAUAUCUGUUAUCCCAAUUUUUUUCAAUUCUCACACCCUUUCAUAUACGAUGCACCGCCGUUUUAAUACCAUUUCUGUUUUCCAAUUAAUUUUUCUACACCUACAAUGCACCGCUCUUUCAUAUUCUUCUCUCUCUCAAAUUAGGUUUUUGCAAUCAAACCCUGAAUGUUUAUUAAUCAAACCGUAAAUGUUCGGCGGCUGGUGAUGUAUUCCAUUCACGAUGCAAAUUAUUGAAUGCUGGUUUCUCAUCUCCCAAAAUCCAAUCACUGCAUCAUCAAUGUUAGUUUGAAGCGAAAGAGUCAUGGAAUGUUAUUGUUCGAGUUAUUCGAUUGUGGUUUGUGCCGGACAUGAAUUCGAAACAGAAGUUUUAUGCUAUGGAGAUGGUUCUAAUGGAUGAGAAGGUUGUUGUUGCUGUUGUUUGAUUUGUAAUUUUUCUCUAUGAAUAUUAUUAUAUGUGAAUAUUGAGAAGGUAAUACAAAUUUUGAUUUUAGAAUCAAGAACUGUGUUGUGAAGGGUUUUAGCUUUGUCGGUUGUUUUAUUUGAUUUGUGCCUUUUUUAGUUUUGCAGGUAUAGAGAGAAGCAUAGAAAAAAGGCUUCUCACCUUCAUCAUGAAUUAGACCACUUCUCUGCUUCUUUAAAAUAUUGUCCCUCCUCUCUUCUUCUCUGUUUAUGAUUUGUUGUACUUUUGUUUGAAUUAAUUGCAGAUUAGGGUUUUGUGUGGUGUGGAUUGUUUCGUGUUGAAGGUUGUUGUUAAUCGUCGUGGAAUUGUUGAUUGAGAUUAUUGCGAUGUUAAUUCGAGUUUGUGGUUGACGUGUUUUGUUGUAGGUUGUCGUGGAAUUGAAUUGUUGUGUUUUGUUGUAGGUUGUCGUGGAAUUGAAUUGUUGUUGAACGGUAAUGCAAAGAUCGAUGAAAUUGAUGGAGUUGUUAUAGAUUGUAGCUGAAGCAGGUUAUUGGAUGAUGCUACGAUUUGGAUGUUGAUGAAAGAUGGAUGAAGAUGUUGCGACAGAUAGAUUAUGACGGAGGUGUGUUAUGAUGUAGAUUUAGUGGUUAGUUUUGAUGAAUAUUUGUAAAGUUGUUUGGAUAUUUUUGGGCAGAUUUGAAGGAACAAGUUUUUGUAGAUUAUUAGGUUACUUGAUUAUAUUUUUGCAACUUCAUGAAAGUUGUGUAUUGAAUGUUAGAUGGUUAUUUGGAGUUGUUGUAUAGAUAAGUGAAGGUGAAUUAUGCAGAAUUUUAGAGAAGGAAUUUACAAAUUGAAUUUGGGAGGAGAUUUGUGGUGCCAUUUGAGUAGAGUUUUUGUAUAAUUUUUCCUCCUCCCUCAAAUGUAGAUGAGCACAUGUAUUUUUAUAAGAAAAUCGGUGAAAAAAAUAAGAGGGAAAUUCUGUUU